UAGGGAAUCUUCCGCAAUGGGCGAAAGCUUGACGGAGCAACGCCGCGUGAGUGAUGAAGGUCUUCGGAUCGUAAAACUCUGUUAUUAGGGAAGAACAAAUGUGUAAGUAACUAUGCACGUCUUGACGGUACCUAAUCAGAAAGCCACGGCUAACUACGUGCCAGCAGCCGCGGUAAUACGUAGGUGGCAAGCGUUAUCCGGAAUUAUUGGGCGUAAAGCGCGCGUAGGCGGUUUUUUAAGUCUGAUGUGAAAGCCCACGGCUCAACCGUGGAGGGUCAUUGGAAACUGGAAAACUUGAGUGCAGAAGAGGAAAGUGGAAUUCCAUGUGUAGCGGUGAAAUGCGCAGAGAUAUGGAGGAACACCAGUGGCGAAGGCGACUUUCUGGUCUGUAACUGACGCGGAUGUGCGAAAGCGUGGGGAUCAAACAGG
rnacentral:rRNA from 1 species